UGUAUCAUGAAGUGCAUUCGACUUGAGAUUUUUAAUUUCAGUAACACUGUCAAACUCUACAUAUACAAUACAUAAGAUAUAAUAGCAACCACAACCUUGUGAAGGCUGUUGUCAAACUAUACUUCAACUUCUUUGCAUCCAAAGUCAUAGGGCACUAGUCCUUUCAAUUCAGGUCCAUUGAGUCUGUUGUGUGCAAAACCUUCCAUAGGAAAGCUUCCAAAGGGUCCAUCAGCAGGGAUUGUUCCACAAAGAUUGUUGUUAGAAACAUCAAAUACUUUAAGGUUGGGGAGUGUCGUAAGUUCCCUUGGAAUCGAACCAGUUAGUUUGUUGUCGUUUAACCGUAAAAAUCUAAGAGACUUUAGUUUAGCAAAAGACUGGGGAAUGUUGCCUUCAAAUUUGUUGCCAUAUAGGUCCAUGCUAAUAAGAUUUUCCAGAUCACCAAAUUCCUUUGGGAUUUCCCCUUCUAAGUUAUUACUAUAAAGUUCCAGAUACUGUAGAUUCUUG
rnacentral:misc_RNA from 1 species